UGAAAGCACAGUGAGAUGGCGACUGCCUACAACCUGGAGGGAGAGCUCUCAUCAGACACCAACCCUGCUGACACCUUGAUCUUGGACUUCCAGCCUCCAAAACUUGUGGCUACUAGAAAAUUUAAAAUUUAAGGUUGAUAUUAUAUUCCUAUCAGACAACACUGGUGUAGAACACAAGUCUUGCUUCUCAAUCCAGUGUUCUCUCUACACGCUACUUUGAAACGGAGAAAGUCAAAAGGCAUUUUCACUCAUAGCAAUUAAUUCUCUCAAAGAUUAAAUGAGGUGUCUGUCCAGAGGUGGGAUUGUUGGAUUAGGUGCGGAAUAUCUUCUAUAUUAUCACUGCUGACUUAUGUCUUCCUUUUCGCAUUAGUCACACAAUCCAGGAAAUUGAGAAGGAUCCUGCUGUGAAGAAGACCCUGCUUAGCAAGAAAUCUUCAUGCAUAGAGACAAGUAUUUCUAUGGAGGAGGAUACACGGCUAGUUGUGUGGUCUGAGCACAUUACUGGCCUCCUGAGAAGUCUUUUCUGAAGUCUGGUGUGGGAGGAGAGUUGAUUUUCACCAUUAAAUACCGGUCUUUGCAGUUUCAUUAACUUAUGUAGCAGAUCAAUUAUAUAAUUAUAAUUACUAAUUACUCAGCAAUCUUAGAACGUUGGAUUAUUAGAGAGUCUACCUUACUUUACCUUCUGCCACUUCUGUGAUUUUAUAUCAUUGUGUUGGGGCUAAAUACAAGUGAAUGGACAAAUGCUAUGUCUUUCUUUCUUAACCGGUAAACUAAAGCAUAUGUGGGCUCUGAGAGGUGUGUGUUUCUGCAGUCAGAUUGCCUGGGCUUGAGUCCUCGCUCUCCAUUCCAUUUGCCUAGCUUUUGGACCUUAGACAAGCUACUCUCUAAGCCUUAAUUCUCUUAUUUGUAAGAAUGAGGAAAGGGGGGCCGGCCCCGUGGCGUGGCGGUUGGGUGUGCGCACUCUGCUGCUGGCGGCCUGGGUUCCGAUCGCGGGUGUGCACCAACACACUGCUUGUCAGGCCACGCUGUGGCGGCCUCCCAUGUGAAGUGGAGGAGGAUGGGCAUGGAUGUUGGCUCAGGGCCGGUCUUCCUCAGCAAAAAGAGGAGGAUUGGCAUGGAUGUUAGCUCAGGGCUGUCCUUCCUCAGACACAAAAACACACCAAAUAAAUAAAUACAUAAAUUUAAAAAAGAAUGAGGAAAGGUAUAUCAGUUAGGAUUAGGUUCAAAAGUAUAAACCAAAAGAUUCCAAAUAAUAGUGACUUAGUCACAGAUGAGUUUAUUUUUCUCUUGUAUAAAAUAAGUCUGGUGGUAGAUAGGCAUGGGCUGGGAUGGCAGCUCCAUGAUUUUACCAGACACCCAGAUUUCUAUUAUCUUCAUCCUCUGCCAUCUUUAGUUUGUGGUUUCCAUCUGUAAAUUACAAGAUGGCAGUUGGUGCUCCAGCCAUCUCAUCCAAAUUUAAGGCAGCAGGAGAAAUAGGAAAUAACAAAGGGGCACAUACCUUCAAUCUGUUCCCCUUCCUUUCUGCAAGCCUCACUCAACUUCUGUUUUUUAUCUCGUUGGUCACGGCUAAUUGCGAGGUAAGCUGGUAAAUUAGUGCUUUGGUUGAGGGCAUUGAAGUUUCACAUAAAAUAGGGGCUCUCUUCUAAGGAAGAAAGCAAGGAUGGAUCUUGGCAGGCAACUUUCAAAUUCUGCCGUAAGAGAUGGAGACAGACACGCUUUCAUCACGUUGAGAUGAUAAAUCCACAUAAAAGUGUUUAGCAAAAUGGCUGGCACAUGCGAAGCACUCAUUUCACACAGUGUGUAAUUAUUUUCUAAUUAUAAAGCUACGAGACUUUUAUAAAAGUAAUCAAAUUAAACAGAACAACAUUUAUAGGCUUUUGCCUUCAAAAGUAGUCAUCUUGGAAGGCAGCAUAUCAUUUCCGUUAAUUUUGUAUUACUACUGUCAGAAAUACGUUCAGAGCCACUUUACUGUUUAUAUAAGAACAACAGCUUUGUUGGCUAUAUCUCGCCACCAUCAGCUUCAUCAUCUAUUGUAGUCGAUCAAAUUAGCUUUGAAUGACACUCAAAGGAUGGUGAUUGUUGAUUGGUAAGAAUAUGUUUAAAACGUUCAGCAGGCUGAAUAGGGAAUUCUGGUUCAGUUAUCUCCUAUUUCCAGAAGCUAGACUUUCAUACUUCCCACACUAAUGGGAGACAUUUAUAUGAAUAUAACUGAGGAAAGUAUAUAUAAAACAUAUUUGCACUCACCAUGAAGAUUAGAACAGUCUAAAGUAGCUAAUAUGCUUUGUAUUAACCUUUGGUAAGGUAUUCAUGAUAAUUUAUGCUUAUAGAUGAAACUGGGUAGUGAUCCACUAGAAUUUUACAGAUAUUGCUGUUUCUUUAUUGAAGACAGGUGAAAGUUUAUUUAAGAAAAAUAGUUUUUUUUUUUUUUAAACUUUCAAGUAGGUCUGGUAAAUAUUUCUGGGAGACUAAAACUUUAUGAACAUACAAGACUCAUUUACAAAAAUAAGAGACUCGUUUACAUACUAAAUCAUGCAAUGAUUUUCAUAAAGUGAGCCCAUUUUAUACACUUCAUUUAAGACUAAAAACUUGUCAUGAUGUGAGUUCUGGUCAUUUAUUGGUCAACUUGAGGGGAUAUGUUAUAUUACAACGUCUCCCCUGUUAUAUUGUCUACUCUGACUUCAUUAAGUGUAAGAUCCAGAGGGAACCUCAGUUAUCACUUGGUCGAACUUUUAAUUUUAUAGAUGAGGAAACUGAGACCCAGAAUUUGAAUGAUUUGCCCAAGGUCUCAUAGCUAACGUACGACAGAGCAGUUAUCAGAACUCAGUUCAUCUGGGUCCUAAUAUCCGGCUUCUUUCAUGACACUGGAUUCCUUCUUACUCACCUCGGGGUUAACAUUGCUCUGUAAAGUUGUCCCCACUGGGGCACGGGAGAUGGAACACUGGGUCUCAGUGCUGUAAAUCCUUGCCUCUUAAGUGUAGUGAGACAAUGACCACUACUUCUCCAUCAGUAUCUGUUCUUCUCUUCCUUCUACAACUCUCCAGUAUUUGCAGGACAUUUAGCUACCCAACCAGACUACAUUUCUUAGCCCCCCUUGCAGCUUGGUAUGGCCAAGUGACCGCUCUGGCCAAUGGGGUGUGAGUGACAGU